AGAUUGAACGCUGGCGGAAUGCUUUACACAUGCAAGUCGAGCGGCAGCGCGGGGGCAACCCUGGCGGCGAGCGGCGAACGGGUGAGUAAUACAUCGGAACAUGUCCAGUUGUGGGGGAUAGCCCGGCGAAAGCCGGAUUAAUACCGCAUGAGCUCGAGAGAGGAAAGCGGGGGACCGUAAGGCCUCGCGCGACUGGGUUGGCCGAUGUCCGAUUAGCUAGUUGGUGGGGUAAAGGCCUACCAAGGCGAUGAUCGGUAGCUGGUCUGAGAGGAUGAUCAGCCACACUGGGACUGAGACACGGCCCAGACUCCUACGGGAGGCAGCAGUGGGGAAUUUGGACAAUGGGGGCAACCCUGAUCCAGCCAUUCCGCGUGAGUGAAGAAGGCCUUCGGGUUGUAAAGCUCUUUUGUCCGGAGCGAAACGGUGGCGGUGAAUAUCCGCACUACUGACGGUACCGAAGAAUAAAGCAACCGGCUAACUACGUGUCAGCAGCCGC
rnacentral:rRNA from 1 species